ACCUAGUAUCUCUGUAGGCGAC
rnacentral:miRNA from 1 species